rnacentral:rRNA from 1 species
AUACGUAGGGGGCGAGCGUUGUCCGGAAUGAUUGGGCGUAAAGGGCGCGUAGGCGGCUUUGCAAGUCAGUAGUGGAAGUCCAUUUUUCAAGGAUGGAAGUGCUACAGAAACUGCGGAGCUUGAGUGCAGGAGAGGUUAUCGGAAUUCCCGGUGUAGCGGUGAAAUGCGUAGAGAUCGGGAGGAACACCAGUGGCGAAGGCGGGUAACUGGACUGCAACUGACGCUGAGGCGCGAAAGUGUGGGGAGCAAACAGGAUUAGACACCCUGGUAGUCCACACUGUAAACGAUGAAUGCUAGGUGUAGGAGGUAUCGACCCCUUCUGUGCCGCAGUAAACACAGUAAGCAUUCCGCCUGGGGAGUACGGUCGCAAGAUUAAAACUCAAAGGAAUUGACGGGG